UACGUAGGGGGCGAGCGUUGUCCGGAAUCAUUGGGCGUAAAGAGCGUGUAGGCGGCUUGGCAAGUCUUGCGUGAAAUCCUGCGGCUCAACCGCAGGCGGUCGCAGGAAACUGCCUCGCUAGAGUCCGGAAGAGGAGAGUGGAAUUCCUGGUGUAGCGGUGGAAUGCGCAGAUAUCAGGAAGAACACCCGUGGCGAGGGCGGCUCUCUGGGACGGUACUGACGCUGAUGCGCGAAAGCUAGGGGAGCAAACAGG
rnacentral:rRNA from 1 species